rnacentral:rRNA from 1 species
CCUGGUUGAUUCUGCCCUUGUCAUAUGCUUGUCUCAAAGAUUAAGCCAUGCAUGUCUAAGUAUAAGCAACUUUGUACUGUGAAACUGCGAAUGGCUCAUUAAAUCAGUUAUAGUUUAUUUGAUGGUUUUUGCUACAUGGAUAACUGUGGUAAUUCUAGAGCUAAUACAUGCAUUCAAGCCCCGACUUCUGGAAGGGGUGUAUUUAUUAGAUAAAAAUCAACUUUGUUGGUGAAUCAUAAUAACUUCUCGGACCGCAUGGCCUCGUGCUGGCGGUGCUUCAUUCAAAUAUCUGCCCUAUCAACUGUCGAUGGUAGGAUAGAGGCCUACCAUGGUUGCAACGGGUAACGGGGAAUAAGGGUUCGAUUCCGGAGAGGGAGCCUGAGAAACGGCUACCACAUCCAAGGAAGGCAGCAGGCGCGCAAAUUACCCAAUCCCAACACGGGGAGGUAGUGACAAUAUGUAACAAUAUACGGCCUUAUACGUCGUAUAAUUGGAAUGAGUACAAUUUAAAUCCCUUAACGAGGAACAAUUGGAGGGCAAGUCUGGUGCCAGCAGCCGCGGUAAUUCCAGCUCCAAUAGCGUAUAUUAAAGUUGUUGCAGUUAAAAAGCUCGUAGUUGGACCUUGGACCUGGACAGGCGGUCCGCCUCACGGCGAGUACUGUCUUGCUGGGUCUUUCCUCUUGGUGAUCUGUUGUUUCGGCAGCAGGGAACCAGGACCUUUACUUUGAAAAAAUUAGAGUGUUCAAAGCAGGCUCGACGCCGGAAUAUAUUAGCAUGGAAUAAUAAAUAGGACGUGCGGUUCUAUUUUGUUGGUUUUU